rnacentral:lncRNA from 1 species
CGGGCUCGUCCACUUACUGCAUCGCCGUAGUGCUGAAGUGGACAGCUCCCCACGACCGGGCGCUCUCACCUACAGCAUCGCCGCGGUGCUGGACUGGACAGCUCUCGGAGCAGGAGCGCCCACCUACUGCGUCGCCGUGGUGCUGAACUGGACAACUCCCCCACUCUGUGCGCUCCCUGCGCUCUGUAGCCGGCCAGGAGUGGGGCCCCGACCACGGGGCCUCUGUCGUCCACGGACGGGCCAGGCCAGGGCCAAGCGCAGGGCUGCCUGGCCUCCCGGACUCCUGUUCCACAGUUCCGGAAUGAGCGCUGGCCAGGGCCUCCUGGAGCUGGGAGGAAGGCGUAGCUGGCGCUCUCUCUCUCUCUCUCUCUCUCUCUCUCUCUCUCUCUCUCUCUCUCUCUCUCUCUCUCUCUCCUCUUCCCUCCCCCCUUGGUGUUUCUUCCAGAUCAGCCUCCUUCUCAUUCCAUCUCUACGUGCCCAGAGCUUCAAAUACAGUCCUCCCAUCACAGUCAGAUUCCCACAAAACUUCAAUCAGCUGCUUCUCCUGGAAGAGAACCUGGAUGGGAGGAAGCUGGAAGGUGGGAAAGAAGAGGUGUGGAGCUAGCUGCAUCUGGCCCGGACUCCAGUUCUGAUGCCUAUUUGCUGUGUGGUCCCAUGCAGGGAUUUGACCUCUCUGGGCUCAGCCUCAUCUGUAAGUGGGAAGGGGGCUGUCUCUUAUCCCCAGUGUGUGUCGUUUCCUUCCAAGUGUAUCGUUCAGGUCUUGGCAUCAGUUUCUCUUCCCUCCAGGAAGGUGUAAUCUCGCACUUAAGUAAGUGGCUACGGAUACCGAGGCCUGUUUUGUCUCCACUGUGCUGAUUGUUGCAGACUGACACACUCUCACUCACGAUCUGAAGUAUCUCCUGCCUGACUUUCUUCUCUGGAUGUCAAAUCCUGUCUCUUGUCCCUUGUGGAAGCCCUGGCACCUAGAAGUUGCUAGAGCAUGGAGUUGUUGAGUGACUACUUUCAGGAUGCAUGAAGUGUGCUGUGGUCACUAGGACUGGGCAGAGUGUCCAAGGCAUUCAGAAGUCGAGAUCCAGGGCCAGACUAUGGCCACACUGGGGUGUGGUGGGAUGCCAUUCAUGGGGCUCCUGAGACAGGAAGGCCCAGGCAGGGCAGUUUUCUCAGGGCUGGGAAAAGGAGAUGCUUAGAGACAAGAAGUCUUCCCUAGCAAACCUUGGUGUGGGGGGGCUGGGGCAAUGGCCACCCAGCUUAUGACCAAGGGUGUGAUUUGUUCUGAGCUCGAGGACAUCAGAAAGCUGAGCUCUGCUAUGGGGGUGUCCAUGACAAGAAGCCCUGCAGAGAGGUUGCUUCUCUCUUGGGGACUGCCACCCCUAGCCAGAGCCAUGAAUCAUAGCCUGAGGGAGGGUGUGGGAUUCCCCAGGAGCUGAGCCACCCAUGAAAAUCAUGAAAGAAAAUUAAUAACAUAGUUACAGAGGAGAAAAAUUUAAAUCCAAAGGGCACAUGGUGGGGCAGGGGGUGGCAGGGAGAGCAAAGGGCAGCCAGGGCUAGAGCACAAGGGAUAAGGAGGAGGAGGGAGAGGAGGAGGAGGAGAAAGAGGAGGAAGAAGAGAAGCAGUAGGAGGAGGAGGGAGAGGAGGAGGAGGAGGAGAAGAAGAAGGAGGAGGAGGAAGAGGCCACUGUGGGCAGAGAAGAUGAGACACAGAAGUAUUGACAGCUCAGUGUGUAAAGGCAGCUGCUGCUAUGCCUGACUACUCGAGUUUGAUUCCCCAGGACCCAAUCAGUAGAAGGAGUGAGCAGCUGCCACAGGUGAAGUAUCUGGGUGAGCAGAUUGGGAGAGGACAGGGAUGGUCCUGAGUGGUCGACUGACCAGCUACCCACCUCAUGGGUCCUCUUCUUCCUCUGCCCUUUCUCGUGGGUGUCUCUAGAUCAGGGCCUUUGGAUCAGCAUUGUCUGCCAGGGAGCUUCAUACUCAGAAGUUAGCUCAUUCCCUAGUUCCUACAGGUAUCUAUCUGUUCAGAAAACAAACCAUCCAGUAAAGGCUGCCCAACUGCCUCACAGCCCCCACACCCCUUCCCAUAAGACUUUAUUUCCUUAGCUAAAUGUUAGGUCCUGGGCUGGACUGUGUUAUGAUCUCUGCCUCUUGUAAAGUGUCUGGCACACAGAGGGUGCUCAAUAAACACACACAGAUCCAACUGGUAAAGCCCUGG